UAGGUUUGGACUAAAUAAUUAUUUUCCUGUCAACGAUGAACCUAAACUCCACCUUCCAAGUUCUGGUGACAUCUAUAACAGAGCAUUUGGAAUGUAACCUCAGCCUGAUGUCACAAUUAGCCUGAUCUUUCAUGUACUCAAUUAUGUCCCUGCACAUGGAUAAUGCAUGCUUCUUUGGAUUAUUAUACAAUGUCUAAAUGGUUUGUGGUGGUUCAUGUACUGAAAUCUCCUGAGAGGUUCUGCUAUACAUGCGUGGACAAUGAGCAUAGUCAGGCUUCUCAUUAUUGACAGGGACAUAAUCUUGUUCGUGGGUGGUCAAGGGUGUGCUUUUGAACUACUAAAUCAGAGCGUUGCUUCGGUUCAGAACAGUUGCUCCCAUGUUUUCCAAGCGGAUGCCUGAGCUGAACUGGGGUUUGAUGUCUCUGAGAAAUUUUUGGAGAUCUGCUUGCUAGAAUUAAAAACUGGACAAUUGCUGAAGUUUCAAGGUGUUGACGUGGAAUUUUCCUUGUUUUAUAUAAUAAGAUACUAAGAGUACUUUGGUGAUGUUUGUAACGGGACUUGGCUUGUUAUCAGGCAGCUGUAUCUUUGUAGAUAAUAAAGAAAAGGAAAGCAUCAAGUAUUAUUUAUUUAUUUAUUACUGCUUAUGUUCCAACUUAACUAGCAUUUGCAAUGCUAGUUUCUGUAAUGUCGUGAGUAAAACCUUCUGUAAGUGCGUUAUUGAACUGGAGCUUAUCUGAGUUUUAGUAUGAA